UACGGAGGGAGCUAGCGUUGUUCGGAAUUACUGGGCGUAAAGCGCACGUAGGCGGCUUUGCAAGUUAGAGGUGAAAGCCCGGGGCUCAACUCCGGAAUUGCCUUUAAAACUGCAUCGCUAGAAUUGUGGAGAGGUAAGUGGAAUUCCGAGUGUAGAGGUGAAAUUCGUAGAUAUUCGGAAGAACACCAGUGGCGAAGGCGACUCACUGGACACGUAUUGACGCUGAGGUGCGAAAGCGUGGGGAGCAAACAGG
rnacentral:rRNA from 1 species